ensembl:lncRNA
GGAGUGGGUUGCCAUGCUCUCCUCCAGGAGAUAUUCCCAACACAGGGACCAAGCCCAGGUCUCCUGAUUAUAGGCAAAUUCUUUACCAUCUGAGCCACCAAGGAAGUCCCUGCCCCAGUCUAUCAAACACCAUAUCCUAAGUUCUCACUUCCUAUUCUGCUCUAUCUCCCAAACUUCAUCCUAAGAUCUCAGGAACAAAGACUCCAUAGAGAAGCCACAGAAUCUGAAAAUAUUGAAAUGCCUAUGAAUAACAAUGAGUUGCAAUUCCCUGAGUAACAUGGGAGAACUUAAGAAAAAUACAAAACUUCAGCAAAAAGCUGUAUGCCUUCCAUUUUCAGAUACCUCUAUAUUACGGUACCUUAUGUUAUUGUGUUUUUUGCUUUAUGUUAUUGAAGAGCUGGUUGGAUUCUUU